GGGAAUAUUGGGCAAUGGACGCAAGUCUGACCCAGCAACGCCGCGUGAAGGAAGAAGGCUUUCGGGUUGUAAACUUCUUUUAAGGGGGAAGAGCAGAAGACGGUACCCCUUGAAUAAGCCACGGCUAACUACGUGCCAGCAGCCGCGGUAAUACGUAGGUGGCAAGCGCUGUCCGGAUUUACUGGGUGUAAAGGGCGUGCAGCCGGAGAGACAAGUCAGAUGUGAAAUCCGCAGGCUCAACCUGCGAACUGCAUUUGAAACUGUUUCCCUUGAGUAUCGGAGAGGUCAUCGGAAUUCCUAGUGUAGCGGUGAAAUGCGUAGAUAUUAGGAAGAACACCAGUGGCGAAGGCGGCCUGCUGGACUGCGACUGACGUUGAGGCCCGAAAGCGUGGGGAGCAAACAGG
rnacentral:rRNA from 1 species